rnacentral:rRNA from 1 species
AGCUGUGAAGGUAGACCGUGAGGUUACUACUGGAGCGACUACAAGUGAGAAUGUUGGCAUAAGUAACUUUAUUGAGGUUAAAACCCUCAACACCGUAAGCCCAAGGUUUCCAAUCCACUGGCAGUCAGGGUUGGGUUAGUCGGUCCUAAGGCGAGGCUGAAAAGCGUAGUCGAUGGAUAACAGGUUAAUAUUCCUGUACUAAUACAAAAUGUCAAGGCAGGACACAUGAGGAAAAUCUGCUUCCAGUUAAUGAAUUCUGGGACAAGCAGUUAGCUUAUGUUUCUAUAGGUAAAUCCGUAGAAAUUUGUAAGCUGUGAUGUAUAUAUACUUUCUCGCGAGAGAAAGGUAAAGUAGUGAUUCUUGUGUCAAGAAAAGUGUCUAAACUAAAGUUUUGUUUUUAUAACCGUACCGCAAACUAACACUAGUGGGUGAGAAGAGUAUUCUCAGGUGAACGAGAUAACUAAGCUUAAGGAACUCGGCAAAACAGCGUCCGUAACUUCGGGAUAAGGACUCCCAACUCUUUGCUUGCAAGGGGUUGGGCGCAGCUAAUGACUCCAAUCGACUGUUUAUCAAAAACACAGGUCUCCGCGAA